CCUACGGGGGGCAGCAGUGGGGAAUAUUGGGCAAUGGGCGCAAGCCUGACCCAGCAACGCCGCGUGAAGGAAGAAGGCUUUCGGGUUGUAAACUUCUUUUUUCAGGGACGAAGAAAGUGACGGUACCUGAGGAAUAAGCCACGGCUAACAACGUGCCAGCAGCCACGGUAAUACGGAGGUGGCAAGCGUUAUGCGGAUUUAUGGGGUUUAAAGGGCGUGUAGGCGGGAGCGCAAGUCAGAUGGGAAAACUCAGGGCUCAACCCUGAGCCUGCAUUUGAAACUGUGUUUCGUGAGUGCUGGAGAGGUAAUCGGAAUGCCGGGUGUAGCGGUGAAAUGCGUAGAUAUACGGAGGAACACCAGUGGCGAAGGCGGAUUGCUGG
rnacentral:rRNA from 1 species